rnacentral:tRNA from 1 species
CGCGGAGUGGAGCAGUCCGGUAGCUCGUCGGGCUCAUAACCCGGCGGUCGUUGGUUCGAAUCCAGCUCCCGCUA